rnacentral:rRNA from 1 species
GACGAACGCUGGCGGCGUGCUUAACACAUGCAAGUCGAACGGAAAGGCCCUGCUUUUGUGGGGUGCUCGAGUGGCGAACGGGUGAGUAACACGUGAGUAACCUGCCCUUGACUUUGGGAUAACUUCAGGAAACUGGGGCUAAUACCGGAUAGGAGCUCCUGCUGCAUGGUGGGGGUUGGAAAGUUUCGGCGGUUGGGGAUGGACUCGCGGCUUAUCAGCUUGUUGGUGGGGUAGUGGCUUACCAAGGCUUUGACGGGUAGCCGGCCUGAGAGGGUGACCGGCCACAUUGGGACUGAGGUACGGCCCAGACUCCUACGGGAGGCAGCAGUGGGGAAUAUUGCACAAUGGGCGGAAGCCUGAUGCAGCAACGCCGCGUGCGGAAUGACGGCCUUCGGGUUGUAAACCGCUUUCGCCUGUGACGAAGCGUGAGUGACGGUAAUGAGUAAAGAAGCACCGGCUAACUACGUG